rfam:Picea glauca, whole genome shotgun sequence.
AAUGGCUUACCAAGGCGACGAUCAGCAGCUGGUCUGAGAGGAUGAUCAACCACACUGGGACUGAGACACGACCCAGACUCCUACGGGAGGCAACAGUGGGGAAUUUUCCGCAAUGGGAUAAGCAUAUGAGGAAUAAGCAUCGGCUAACUCUGUGCCAGCAGCUGCGGUAAGACAGAGGAUGCAAGCGUUAUCCAGAAUGAUUGGGCAUAAAGCGUCUGUAGGUGACUUUUCAAGUCCGCCGUCAAAUCCUAUGGCUCAACCCUUGACAGGCGGUGGAAACUACCAAGCUCGAGUAUGGUAGGGGCAGAGGGAAUUUCCGGUGGAGUGAUGAAAUGCAUUGAGAUUGGAAAGAACACCAAUGGUGAAAGCACUUUGCUGGGAUGACAAUGACACUGAGAGAUGAAAGCUAGGGGAGCAAAUGGGAUUAUAUACCCCAGUAGUCCUAGCCGCAAACGAUGGAUACUAAGUGCUAUGCGUAUCGACCCACACAGUGUUGUAGCCAAGGUGUUAAGUAUCCCUCCUGGGGAGUAUGUUCACAAGAAUGAAACUCAAAGGAAUUGAUGGGGGCCUGCAAAAGCGGUGGAGCAUGUGGUUCAAUUUGAUGCAAAGCGAAGAACCUUACCAGGGCUUGACAUGCCGUGAAUCCUCCCAAAAGAGAGGAGUUCCUUCGGGAAUGCAGACACAGGUGGUGCAUGGCUUUCGUCAGCUCGUGUCGUAAGGUGUUGGGUUAAGUCCCGCAAUGAGUGCAACCCUCGUGUUUAGUUGCCAACAUUGAGUUAAGAACCCUGAACAGACUGUCGGUGAUAAGCCGGAGGAAGGUGAGGAUGACAUCAAGUCAUCAUGCCCCUUACGCCUUGGGUGACACACGUGCUACAAUGACCGGGACAAAGGGUUGCGACCCCGCGAGGGCAAGCUAACCUCAAAAACCUGGCCUCAGUUUGAAUUGCAGGCUGCAACUCGCCUGCAUGAAGCCGAAAUCGCUAGUAAUUUCCAGUCAGCCAUACGGCGGUGAAUCCGUUCCUGGGCCUUGUACACACCUCCCGUCACACUAUGGGAGUUGGCCAUGCCCCAAGUCAUUACCUUAACCGCAAGGAGGGGGAUGUUGAAGGCUGGGCUAGUGACUGGAGUGAAUUUGUAACAAGGUAGUCGUACUGGAAGGUGCGGCUGGAUCACCUCCUUU